rnacentral:rRNA from 1 species
UGGUGGCUAUAGCGACGAGGCUCCACCUGUUCCCAUCUCGAACACAGUAGUUAAGCUCGUCUGCGCCAAGGAUACUCGGUGGGUGACUGCCCGGGAAAGUAGGUCGCUGCCACAU